rnacentral:rRNA from 1 species
ACGAACGCUGGCGGCGUGCUUAACACAUGCAAGUCGAACGGGAUCCACGCAGUGGCAACACUGCUGAAGAUCUAGUGGCGAACGGGUGAGUAACACGUGAAGAACCUGCCCCGAACUCUGGAAUAACACUCCGAAAGGAGUGCUAAUACCGGAUACCUUCUCGAAGUCGCAUGGCUAUGAGAAGAAAGAUUCAUCGGUUCGGGAGGGCUUCGCGGCCUAUCAGCUUGUUGGCGGGGUAACGGCCCAUCAAGGCGUCGACGGGUAGCUGGUCUGAGAGGAUGAUCAGCCACACUGGGACUGAGACACGGCCCAGACUCCUACGGGAGGCAGCAGUGGGGAAUCUUGCUCAAUGGGCGAAAGCCUGAAGCAGCAACGCCGCGUGCGGGAUGAAGGCCCUCGGGUUGUAAACCGCUUUCAGCAGGAACGAAUCUGACGGUACCUGCAGAAGAAGGUCCGGCCAACUACGU